GCUCUGUUCCUGUAGAAAAUCAGAAUUUGGGAGGAGGUUUGGCUUAUAGAUAUAGGAAAUUUAAAGGUGGGCUCCCCCACGUUGGCUCCCUUUGUCUCCUUCAAGGAUGUUGCUAGCCCGUCAUCCAAGAGCUGUCGGAGUUCUGCUCUUGGUCAGAGAGGCCGCGGAAAUGUUCUCACGAUAGGACACGAGAGAACUCGAGGCAGGCUGGCUUUAUUUAGAACAGCUGAAAUACUUGCACAUUUCCACUCCUGGGUCACCGGAGACAGGAAUGCGUUUCCUGCAGCUUCCUAAGAGGUCGGACCAUGGGGAAGGAGGUCUCGGGACCCCACGGACCUAACUCCCUGAUCUUCCUUGUCCAUUGUCAUCCUGUUCGAGGCUGAGGGAGAUGUGAGAGGUUGCAUCUGUCCCCCACCUGGAAAGGAUAAAAUCAGCAGGCACAGGACAUACCAGAGAAUGGACCGAUAAAAGCGUGCAGGAUGCAGGGGGAAAAAAACCAAUGGCCACAAUUGAAGCAUCAGAGGGCCAAUCCUGCCAUUUGUAUUUAACGUCUAUAGAAUUCUGAGCAAUUGAUUUAACCUCCCCAGCCUCAGUUUCCUCAUCUGUAAAAUGAAUAAGUUGAAACAGAUGGUUUCAGAGAUUGCCAGCUCUAGUUUCUAUGACUUUAAAAUCUUAGGAGACAGGAGAUCAUUCUGUGCAGCAACAACCAGAUUAUACAAUCCUCAGUUCUGAUGGACAUGGUUCUCUUCAACAAUGAGAUAAUUCAGGCCAGUUCCAUGGCCUUGGUUUUUUUUUUUUUAUUAUUAAAGCUUUUUUUUAUUUUCAAAGCAUAUGCAAGGAUAAUUUUUCAACACUGACCCUUGCAAAAUCUUGUGUUCCAAAUUUCUCCCUCCCCUUUCCCCCAUUCCAUCCCCUAGAUGGCGAGUAAUCCAAUACAUGUUAAAAGAUUGAAAAAUUAUCCAUGCAUAUGCUUUGAAAAUAAAAAGCUUUAAUAAAAAAGAAAAAAUACACAUUAAGUCCAAUAUCUGUAUACAUAUUUAUACAACUAUCAUGCUUUACAAGAAAAAUCAGAUCAAAAAGGGGGGUAAAUGAGAAAGAAAACAAAAUGCAAGCAAAGAAUAAAAAGAGUGUAAAUGCUAUGUUGCGAUCCAUACUCAGUUCUCAUAGUCCUCUCUCUGGGUGCAGAAAAUGAGUGGAUGCCCAUCAGUUGGGGAAUGGCUG
rnacentral:lncRNA from 1 species